AAAUUCAUAUCUUGCUUCAGUUAUCUGUUUAUGUUGAUACUAAUACAAAUAAUGAGUAAAUGGAUUCUGACUUAGAUGUUGCCUACUAAAUUGCCGGUAUUUCGUAACUUUUUCUGAACCUUUAUUUAGCUGCUCCGAUGCCUGACCAGUUUGUGGUGGUGGUUAUUGUAUAAUUUGUGGCUAUGGGGUUGAGCUGUCCUUACUUGAACCCGAGACCUUGUGCUAAUUGUGACAAAAAAAAAAAAAUGGUCCGCCCAUUACCAAACAAACAAUUGGCUUGGUUGCUGUAUAUAAUUUUUGAUCAAAACUCAUACAUGAUUUGUCACCUGGCUUGAUUUUGUUAUUAAUAUUACAAACAAUUAUGUUUUCUUUCUAUUAAAUAUUGGCUAAUAUUUUAGAUAACAGUGACGAUUAUGGUGUUUGUUGAUCAAAACAAUUAUGUUUUCUUUCUAUUAAAUAUUGGCUAAUAUUUUAGAUAACAGUGACGAUUAUGGUGUUUGUUGAUCAAAGAGGUUGUAUGCAUUAAUAAUGGCAAAUAUUUGUAUAGUGUGCAGUUUACCGCUUGUGCUUGCUGCGCGUGGACAUAAGUUCAGUAAAAGAUUUGAAAUUACCAUAGUUAAGGCGGUGAUGAUGAGUUUCUAAAUGUUGGUUUAAAAUUGCCAUAGUUAAAGCGGUAAUGAUGAGUUUCUAAAUGUUGGUUUAAAAUUGCUGAUGAGUUUCUAAAUGUUGGAGUUAAUUAGAGAAAGAUGAGAUUAGAAGUAUCUUGGCAGGGUAAUUUCUGGGAUGUCAUGUAUAGAUAUAAGCUGAAUAAUUUUUAUCCCGUGAUUGAUUUCUAUUAUGAAUGCAGCCAUGAUGGUUUACAAUACUUUGUGCUGAUUCUUGUUUAGAUCUGAGCUUCACAAUAAACUAAUAAAGUCUUUAUAUAGCUUAUUUUACAUAUUCAAGUUUUGGCAACACAUCAAAAAGUAAAAACUGACACAUAUAGGCUUGUGCAACUUAAUAUAAAUCUAAUGAAUCAGAAAACACAUACAGUACAUCUGUUCAUAAUUUGAAGCUUUACUCAAGUUGCUUUUAUGUGUUUUGUUUAGAUAAUUUGUUACCUGGUUUUAGAAAGUGUCUUUCUCUACUUGUUUCAAACCUGAUUUAGAGAUACGGAGUCUAUAAUUUUGAUUGUUACAAAUUAUUAUAUAAUGCACUGCUCCUUAUCUCAUGUGUGAUGGAAACAUCAACUCUGGAAGAGUCCUUUUCGUACAUUUGUCUUGUCUUAAUUUAUACAUAUGCGCGUUGCUAAUUGAUCAAUGCAGGUGACAAAAAGCAGAAUGUGGAGCGGUGCACUCUUUCAAGGGAAAAGCGUAUAAAGGCAUGCACGCUCGAUUACAUUCUGGCAUCAGCAAGUUUUUGAUUGCUUAACUAUGCCAUUUACUGGGAAGCCUGGAGGCGUUGCAGACUUGCAGGUGAAUCUAAGUAGCCACAAGUGGGUUUAUUUUUGCUUCUAGGAUUAGAGCUUUGGACGUCUAGGACAUUCCCCUUAGAGACUAAGUUUAUACCACUAGGCGACCACCCUUGUGGUUCCGUAUUAGUGUUUCAAAUCAUAUUUUUAUUUUGUGAUUAUAGUUGCAAAUCUGAAUAUGACUGCAUAGAUGAGUAUGCAAAGAUAUGAAUGCUGUUUUGGAGUUAAAAGGGUAUGGUAAAAGGGGGCUAUUAAGUUAUUGGAUUACUUUCUGGUUGAUCUUUUUUUACAAGGGUGUUAAAGUUCAAGUUUUGAUUCUUCCAUUUUAUAACCUAUAUAAGGUUUUUAUAUUUGGCCAGUUAGUCUUGGCUACCAAGAAAAUAUGAAAUGCUUGCCGGAGAUAAAUGGCCAUAUCAGGGUGGAGUACCUAUCAAGUACCCAUCAGUUGUGUUCUAUGUAGCACCGACAUAGAUACGGCAAAGGGGCACGGGAACGGGAAACGGCAAAACUAAAAAAUUUAGGAUAUGGGUACGGCAAAGAUACGGCAAUAAAUAUAUAUAUAUAUUGAUUUUAUAUAGAGAAAUACUUGAGACUUGAGAGAUUAUGUAUAAUUAUAUACAUAUAAUUUUAUAACAUAUGCUUGAUGGUGACCGGUGAUCACAAAUUCAUUUUUUAAUAAUCAGUUUUGGAAUAAAAAAAAAGCCUGAUGGUGAUCUCAAUUGUAAAAUGUAGUUGAUUUGUAUUUGGGGUAUGCUUAGUUGCAAGAUAACAGUCGUUUUUGGAAUAGCUAAAGUUAAUUAAAACCCUAAUAUUGAUUAGAUUCUGUAAGGAAGCUUCAUAGAAACGUUUCGGUAUAUAUGGAAACUUCAAGGAAACGUUUCAUACGAGUGUCGGUUCCCAUGGAGUUUCCGAAACAGGUACGUCUACCUGUAUGGAGUUUCGGUGCAUCAUAGGUUGUGUUGUAAUGGUAGAAAUUUGUGUUUCUACCUGCAACAGGCGUUAAAGAAAGAAGCUGCAGUUGAAGGAACUUGGUUUUUAAUAUUGUAACACCUAAAACGACAUUUGUCAACAUCUGGAGAGUUAGUUUUGAAUAUUGUAACACCUAAAACGACAUUUGUCUGAUUAUUUGUAGAAAUGCAACUAAAAUUACUUUCCCUGUUCAACCAUUGACUUAUUUUGUGAUUUGAGAACCAAGUAUUCUGUGUAGUUAUAACAAUAAAUUGAUCU